rnacentral:rRNA from 1 species
GACGAACGCUGGCGGCGUGCCUAAUACAUGCAAGUAGAACGCUGAAGAGAGGAGCUUACUCUUCUUGGAUGAGUUGCGAACGGGUGAGUAACGCGUAGGUAACCUGCCUUGUAGCGGGGGAUAACUAUUGGAAACGAUAGCUAAUACCGCAUAACAAUGGAUGACACAUGUCAUUUAUUUGAAAGGGGCAAUUGCUCCACUACAAGAUGGACCUGCGUUGUAUUAGCUAGUAGGUGAGGUAAUGGCUCACCUAGGCGACGAUACAUAGCCGACCUGAGAGGGUGAUCGGCCACACUGGGACUGAGACACGGCCCAGACUCCUACGGGAGGCAGCAGUAGGGAAUCUUCGGCAAUAGGGGCAACCCUGACCGGGCAACGCCGCGUGAGUGAAGAAGGUUUUCGGAUCGUAAAGCGCUGUUGUAAGUCAAGAACGGGUGUGAGAGUGGAAAGUUCACACUGUGACGGUAGCUUACCAGAAAGGGACGGCUAACUACGUG